UACGUAGGGGGCAAGCGUUGUCCGGAUUUAUUGGGCGUAAAGAGCGUGUAGGCGGUCAGGUAGGUCCGUUGUGAAAACUCGAGGCUCAACCUCGAGACGCCGAUGGAAACCAUCUGACUAGAGUCCGGAAGAGGAGAGUGGAAUUCCUGGUGUAGCGGUGAAAUGCGCAGGUAUCAGGAAGAACACCCGUGGCUAAGGCGGCUCUCUAGUACGGUACUGACGCUGAGACGCGAAAGCGUGGGGAGCGAACAGG
rnacentral:rRNA from 1 species